UUUUACACCAGGACUAAAUAAACACUCACUUACCCCUGGUACCUGCUAAUAUGUUAACAAGUAAUGUCCUCAAAGAGCCUCAUUACUUGAUUACAUCCGAGGCUGGGGACUCUGUGCUGUUGCUUUCUCCGCCUGCCGGGAUCUCACGAGCCCAGACACAUUAACUCACUUGAAUACUGAGAGAAAGUGGGAGCUUUAUCAGCCUCCAUUAUCAGCCCAGGAUAACAAAAUACAGCAUUGAAUACUGAGAGAAAGUGGGAGCUUUAUCAGCCUCCAUUAUCAACCCAGGAUAACAAAAUACAGCAUAGGGGCAUUUAUGAUCUCAUGGCUGAGGCAUUAUAACGCAAAUGUCUUAAUCCCUGCAGUUCUCAACACUGCUGUUGCCAUGUCUUUGGGUCAGUAACAUGGUGCAGGGUUAAUCAAGAAAGACAAAUACAGUAGAAACAAGGGAAGCUGGAAUCCCUGCAUCCCAUUCCUGCCUGCCCUUGUGACCAGUGUGCUCUUGGCCUGUGGAAGUCAUCCCCUCCUGCUGCAAUCUGUGCUACACACCCCUCUUCAGCACAGAUACCUAAGGGGAUCAUGGCUGAGGGUGCAUCUGUGACCCUUGUCCCUGUGUGCAGGUACCCAUCUCUGAGUGCAGGUACCCAUCCCUGUGUGCAGACACCCAUCUCUGUGUGCAGACACCCAUCCCUGUGUGCAGGUACCCAUCCCUGUAUGCAGGCACCCAUCUCUGUGUGCAGGUACCUAUCUCUGAGUGCAGGUACCCAUCCCUGUGUGCAGGUACCCAUCCCUGUGUGCAGGUACCCAUCCCUGUGUGCAGGUACCCAUCCCUGUGUGCAGGUACCCAUCUCUGAGUGCAGGUACCCAUCCCUGUGUGCAGGUACCCAUCUCUGUGUGCAUGUACCCAUCUCUGAAUGCAGGUACCCAUCUCUGAGUGCAGGUACCCAUCCCUGUGUGCAGGUACUCAUCCCUGUGUGCUGGUACCCAUCUCUGUGUGCUGGCAAACACAAAGGCAGGCAAUGGAGCUGGGCCUGCACUAACCACAGUUACCCAAGGUUAUAUCACAUUUCUCCUUUCAUGGCUCAAGAGUGUCAACAUCCACAGCUGGACUCACUUAUUCUAUAUAAUAUCAGUAUUUUGAUUUUACUCUGAUGUGUUAACAGGCCUCACAAGCCACUUUGGGACCAGAUCUUUUGUUAGCAGGAGGCUCUUUCCAGCAUCACUGAUUUUAGGUGUUUUAGAUGCUGAAGGAUGCUGUAGAAAGUGCAGAAACUCAGUUUAUAUGGAGCGGAAGGAGAGAAAAAGAGAUCCAUGAAAUAAAAGAGGCACACAGUAUUUUGGGAUUUACACAGCCUUUAUGCCCAAAAUACAGUGGCAACCUCUUGCUGGUCACAUCAGCCACCAGAAGCACCUUCAGUGGUUUCAACAAUAAAUGAA
rnacentral:lncRNA from 1 species